AUUCAGCUGAUGAGUCGCGGAAUGGGUGAAACGCGCGUCCUGGAU
rfam:Schistosoma curassoni strain Dakar, Senegal genome assembly, scaffold: SCTD_scaffold0006563